AGGUCAGGGUGGCCAGGCUCAGGGUCUUUUCAGAGUCUGGACUUCCUCACAGCCCCGGUUCUGAGGAAGCUGAGGUGAAGACAAACCCACCUUCUUGACAGCAGUCUCCUCUUAGACCAGGUCUAGUGAGGCCAUCUUCUCAGAGCCUGAGACUCCUCACAGCCCAGUCCUCAUGAGGCUGAGAUGCCCUCAGUGAAGAUCCAGGAUAGCAGGAUGCAGUUCUGAAAAAAAAUUAUAGGCUUUCAUCCAGAUUAUUAUGGGAUUAACGUUUUCCAUAUUUCUUUACUUCAUCUUAGUGCCUGUGGGAUCUGCAAUAUCCCCUUUCUCAUUCCUUAUAAAAUGAAACUCUGCUCUCUAUCUUCUACCAUACACAAGCUCUGCACCAAAUGUGCCAUAGACCUGAUACCCUGAAAAUGCCAAAGGACACAGUAGAGAAUAUACUCCCAAUGCUAAGCACAGCAGAGUCUGGAAGAAGAGAAGUUAUACAGUUGCCCAGCAGAGAUGCCCCUUUGCUGUCUCAGCCUAGAUGCCUGUGGCAACAGUUGCAGUAGGAACAGCCCACCUGGAAAUCUUCCUGUCAGCAUCAUUGGAACCUGGGUACCCACAAUUUCCUGCUCUUCACCAAAUUCUUGAUAGCCAGGGGCGUUCCUCCUUCCAUGCUGUGUCUGCCUCUGAUCUCACAUGACCCCUGCCAAGCAAAUGAGACCCAGACCCUUGACCUGACUCACUCAGAUCUCUGUGGCUCCAUCAUAGCAUGGCUCUUCCUAUACUGACAUACAGGUGAGUUGCUUAUGUGAUUGACCAGUCUCCCUCAAUGGAUUGUGACUUCCAGCAGAGCAGUAGGGUUUGCUUGCUCUAAGAGGCUAACUCCCCAGAAAGACUUGUAAAUGAUCACAGAAGUGAACUAUUGGAUGGGAUGGGUCA